rnacentral:rRNA from 1 species
UACGAAGGGGGCUAGCGUUGCUCGGAUUGACUGGGCGUAAAGGGCGCGUAGGCGGUUCGUACAGUCAGACGUGAAAUUCCUGGGCUCAACCUGGGGGCUGCGUUUGAUACGUGCGGACUUGAGUGCGGAAGAGGGUCGUGGAAUUCCCAGUGUAGAGGUGAAAUUCGUAGAUAUUGGGAAGAACACCGGUGGCGAAGGCGGUCUACUGGGCCUUACCUGACGCUGAGGAGCGAAAGCGUGGGGAGCGAACAGG